AGACGUGUUUACACGGCAGGAAUUAUAUGUUAUGCCUACCUGCAAGAGACGUGUUUACACGGCAGGAAUUAUAUGUUAUGCCUACCUGCAAGAGACGUGUUUGCACGGCAGGAAUUAUAUGUUAUGCCUACCUGCAAGAGACGUGUUUACACGGCAGGAAU
rfam:Nematostella vectensis strain CH2 x CH6 NEMVEscaffold_32_Cont5592, whole genome shotgun sequence.